GAAAUUUUCAAGUUUUAUUAAACCAGCUAGAGCGGAGUUUUAUUAACCAGCUGAGGGCGGACUAAAGACUUACAGACCUGGGCGAAGAAGCAGCACUCCUACUUACCAGGGCAAGACUCAUGAACAGGGGGCGGGGGCUCCGGGGGCGGGGACGCGCCCCGUUCUCUUUCGCUCUUCUUCCCGGCAGCCUUAGCGCCAGGCCCGGCGCUCCUCAAGAUGGCUGCCGACAGUGAGCCCGAAUCCGAGGUAUUUGAGAUCACGGACUUCACCACUGCCUCGGAAUGGGAAAGGUUUAUUUCCAAAGUUGAAGAAGUCUUGAAUGACUGGAAACUGAUUGGAAACUCUUUGGGAAAGCCACUUGAAAAGGGUAUAUUUACUUCUGGCACAUGGGAAGAGAAAUCAGAUGAAAUUUCCUUUGCUGACUUCAAGUUCUCAGUCACUCAUCAUUAUCUUGUACAAGAGUCCACUGAUAAAGAAGGAAAGGAUGAGUUAUUAGAGGAUGUUAUUCCACAAUCUAUGCAAGAUUUGCUGGGUAUGAAUAAUGACUUUCCUCCAAGAGCACAUUGCCUGGUAAGAUGGUAUGGGCUACGUGAGUUCGUGGUGAUUGCCCCUGCUGCACACAGUGACGCUGUUCUCAGCGAAUCUAAGUGCAACCUUCUUCUGAGUUCUGUUUCUAUUGCCUUGGGAAACACUGGCUGUCAGGUGCCACUCUUUGUGCAAAUUCACCACAAAUGGCGAAGAAUGUACGUAGGAGAAUGUCAAGGUCCUGGUGUACGAACUGAUUUCGAAAUGGUUCAUCUUAGAAAAGUGCCAAAUCAGUACACUCACUUAUCAGGUCUGCUGGAUAUCUUCAAAUCAAAGAUUGGAUGUCCUUUAACUCCAUUGCCUCCAGUUAGUAUUGCUAUUCGAUUUACCUAUGUACUUCAAGAUUGGCAGCAGUAUUUUUGGCCUCAGCAACCUCCAGACAUAGAUGCCCUUGUAGGAGGAGAAGUUGGAGGCUUGGAGUUUGGCAAGUUACCAUUUGGUGCCUGCGAAGAUCCUAUUAGUGAACUCCAUUUAGCUACUACAUGGCCUCAUCUGACCGAAGGGAUCAUUGUGGAUAAUGAUGUUUAUUCUGAUUUGGAUCCUAUUCAAGCUCCACAUUGGUCUGUUAGAGUUCGAAAAGCUGAGAAUCCUCAGUGUUUGCUAGGUGAUUUUGUUACUGAAUUUUUUAAAAUUUGCCGUCGAAAGGAGUCAACUGAUGAGAUUCUUGGACGAUCUGCAUUUGAGGAAGAAGGCAAAGAAACUGCUGAUAUAACUCAUGCUUUGUCAAAAUUGACAGAGCCGGCAUCAGUUCCAAUUCAUAAAUUAUCAGUUUCAAAUAUGGUACACACUGCAAAGAAGAAAAUCCGAAAACACAGAGGUGUAGAGGAGUCACCGCUAAAUAAUGAUGUUCUUAAUACUAUUCUCCUGUUCUUAUUCCCUGAUGCUGUUUCUGAGAAACCAUUAGAUGGAACUACUUCAACAGAUAAUAAUAAUCCUCCAUCAGAGAGUGAAGACUAUAAUCUCUACAAUCAGUUCAAGUCUGCACCAUCUGACAGUUUAACAUACAAACUGGCUUUGUGUCUCUGUAUGAUCAAUUUUUACCAUGGAGGGUUGAAAGGAGUGGCACACCUCUGGCAGGAAUUUGUUCUUGAAAUGCGUUUCCGAUGGGAAAACAACUUUCUGAUUCCAGGAUUAGCAAGUGGACCCCCAGAUCUGAGGUGUUGUUUACUGCAUCAGAAACUACAGAUGUUAAAUUGUUGUAUUGAAAGAAAGAAGGCACGUGAUGAGGGGAAAAAGACAAGUGCUUCAGAUGUCACUAAUAUAUAUCCAGGGGAUGCUGGAAAAGCAGGAGACCACUUGGUGCCAGAUAAUCUAAAAGAAACAGAUAAGGAAAAGGGAGAGGUAGGAAAAUCUUGGGAUUCCUGGAGUGACAGCGAAGAAGAAUUUUUUGAAUGCCUAAGUGAUACUGAAGAACUUAAAGGAAAUGGACAAGAGAGUGGCAAGAAAGGAGGACCUAAGGAGAUGGCAAAUUUAAGGCCGGAAGGACGGCUCUAUCAGCAUGGGAAGCUUACACUGCUGCAUAAUGGAGAACCUCUCUACAUUCCAGUAACCCAGGAACCAGCACCUAUGACAGAAGAUCUGCUAGAAGAGCAGUCUGAAGUUUUAGCUAAAUUAGGUACAUCGGCAGAAGGGGCUCACCUCCGAGCACGCAUGCAGAGUGCCUGUCUGCUCUCAGAUAUGGAGUCUUUUAAGGCAGCUAAUCCAGGUUGCUCCCUGGAAGAUUUUGUGAGGUGGUAUUCACCCCGGGAUUAUAUUGAAGAGGAGGUGAUUGAUGAAAAGGGCAACGUGGUGCUGAAAGGAGAACUGAGUGCCCGGAUGAAGAUUCCAAGCAAUAUGUGGGUAGAAGCCUGGGAAACAGCUAAGCCAAUUCCUGCUAGAAGGCAAAGGAGACUCUUCGAUGAUACACGGGAAGCAGAAAAGGUGCUGCACUAUCUGGCAAUCCAGAAACCUGCAGACCUUGCUCGGCACCUGUUACCUUGUGUGAUUCAUGCAGCUGUACUCAAGGUAAAGGAAGAAGAAAGUCUCGAAAACAUUUCUUCAGUUAAGAAGAUCAUAAAGCAGAUAAUAUCCCAUUCCAGUAAAGUUUUGCACUUCCCCAAUCCAGAAGACAAGAAAUUGGAAGAAAUCAUUCACCAGAUUACUAAUGUGGAAGCUCUCAUUGCCAGAGCUCGGUCACUAAAAGCCAAGUUUGGAACUGAGAAAUGUGAACAGGAGGAGGAAAAGGAAGAUCUUGAAAGGUUUGUGAGUUGCCUGCUGGAGCAGCCUGAAGUGUUAGUCACCGGUGCAGGAAGAGGACAUGCUGGCAGGAUCAUUCACAAGCUGUUUGUGAAUGCCCAGAGGCUGACUGAAUCUUCUGAUGAGGCUGCAGCUAUGACUCCACCAGAGGAGGAAUUGAAGAGAAUGGGCUCCCCAGAGGAAAGAAGGCAGAACUCCGUGUCAGACUUCCCACCCGCUGCUGGCCGGGAAUUCAUUUUGCGCACCACUGUGCCGCGCCCUGCUCCCUACUCCAAAGCUCUGCCUCAGCGGAUGUACAGUGUUCUCACCAAAGAGGACUUUAGACUUGCAGCUCCCCAGGUGUGUCCUGGUAGACAACUGCUCCCAGGAGCUGGCAUAGAAGCAAACCUGCAGGAAAAGCUGACCCACUCCAGGUGUGUGGAAGCUGCUGGCAGGAACCCAGCAAGGAUCCAGCUGGGUUGUAAUGGAAACAAUGCAACCAACAAUCCUUGAGCGAGCCGGGAUAGAUGUGGCCUCAUCACUGAAGAUUUCAUCUGAGACCUCUGCAAAUAUCCAAAUUGUAUAUGCUCUUAGAGCAGAUCAUUUUCUCACAGGGUGUCUAACCAAAGGAAAGGAAAUCAGCAUAUCAAAGAGAUAUCUGCACUCCCAUGUUGAUUGCAGCACUGUUCACAACAGCCAAGAUGUGGAAUCAACCAAAGUGUCCAUUGGCAGAUGAAUGGAUUAAAAAUGUGGUGCAUGGCCCGGCGCAGUGGCUCAUACCUGUAAUCCCAGCACUUUCGGAGGCCAAGGAAUAAUGGAGUGCUUCAUGGUACUGAAGGAAGCAAGAGCUCUGCAAAUAGAGGAAAGUGUCUUACAUUGGUUACUGAGAUGUUCAAAAGGGUUGCCUAUUACAUGCCAAAGAAAGCAACUGAAAGCAGGAGAAAUUGCCAAAUCCCUCAGAAUAAAUGAAAGAAAUGUCCAAGCAACAGAGGAUGAUGUGGCCUGGCCUGGGCUAUCAUUAAGGUAUUGUGUCAUAGCUUAAUUGGCAGUUUUCUUUGAAGAACUAUGCAUUAAUGCUUAAAGAUCAGAAGCCAUUCUUUGAUAAAAAUAACUGUAACAACAAUUCCAAAUCAGUUGAUAUUAAUUCUUGAUAGCUAUCAGCUAUAUUAGGGAACAUAUUUCUCUUUUCAGUGUUGCCAUGAAGUGUAAAUUAAUGGUUUGAGACUAUAGAUGAUGCACCUAUGGUCAUUCUUCCAAACUCCUGGAAUUCCAGAGAGAACAAAACUACAGUUCUAGAGUAGUAUGUACCACUCUGGUUCUAAAAGAGCAUAUGUAGGUAGAAUAAGCAUUUAACAUAGUGUGCCUACUUUGUUUUCUGUUUGUUUUUCAUGGAAAUCCAUGUUAGUGGAAAGAUGUGAAGCAUACCUCUUAUGUGGAAUUCUCAGCCCAGUGAUCUGAAAAGUCAAAAGAGGGAAGCAGGAAUAGGUAAGGGGUAAAUGCUGGCAUUGUCUGGAGUGAAUGAGGGCAAAGCAAAUUUCACUGGCAGAACAAAACUUCAAAGUGAUUUUUAAAAAGCAUUUGUAAGUACAAGCUAACAUGUUUUUAUCAAGAGAUCAAUGUACAACUAACAAGCCAAUAUUUCCCUGCCAUAGAUGAAGAGACUCAUAGCCCAGGUGAUGACAAUUGCCAGGUGUUGGUUCCUAGUCUCAUAUUUAGUUCACUGAGCCAUAUGCUGUCCCAUUACCAGAGUCUCAUCAGCACUUGAGAGUUUCUCACAGUGAGAUCAAGAAAACUAGAGACACAAAAGAGUAUAACCCACCUGAGUCUACACUGUCUACUUAAAAGCUGUUAAAAUUAACAGAUCUAAACAGAUCCAUUCCAAGACAUUCUUUGGGAAGACCUUGAGGAGUUAGAAGGAAGGCUGAGAGAAGAAGAAAGAAGGAUGCCUUGAGCUCAGAAAUUCUUAAAUGAACAUUUCAUUUUAAAGCUAUGAGUCAGACUCUUCUAUUAGUGUUUAAUAGCAACUAACUUAGAAGAAAAGCUUCAACAGUCUCAUCCCAACUAUUGGGUUUAUCUGAAUAAGAAUAUCAAUCUGUAUGUUACUAUGGUCACUAAAUGAGUAACAAGGAAAAUAACCCAAAAGUACUCAGUCUCUUGCCAGCUAGCCCAUAAACGAUAGUGAAAUAUGACAUACAGGCUAGUAUUUGCUAACCAUCACAGCUAUAAAUAAUGAAUGGAAUCAACCAAAAAGUAAACAAACCCGAAACACUGUAUGGUUGGCUCCAAAUGCAGUCAUGAUUCAUACAGUCUUGACAUUAUGUUCCCUAAAAACAUUUUCUUUAAAAUACUUUUUUAAAAAUAUGCCAAUUAAGUAUAACUAUUUACAAGAAUUUUUGUGUAAAGGAUUAAUGAUAUGCUAAGUGUUAGUUAAUUAUCUGUCAGUCUUACUGUUUUGUCCCAAAGCACCUCCCAAAUAUCAAAACAACACCCUUACUGUGUGAAUGAGCUAGGCUUGGUUGAGGCUGGGCAACAGGCCUGGUGGCAGCACAUGUAGGUAUUUAUCGGUUUUGCUCUAUGUGUAAUGUCUGAAUGCCAACAGACACACUCAGCUCUUCUAGCCAUCUGGCGUUUAAGUAUGUGGUUACAAAUGGUUGGUAUUUUUAAUAU